ensembl:snRNA U6 U6 spliceosomal RNA
GUGCUCGCCUCGGCAGCACAUAGACUACAAUUGGACCGAUACAGAGAUUAGCGUGGCCCCUGCGCAAGGAUGACACGCAAAUUCAUGAAGCGUUCCACAUUUUU